AAGAGUCGACACAUAAAACCAAACCAUUUUCGUUUUUGUAUACUUUAAUACUUAACUCCUCCUCUUUACCCAAACCAAACCUAAACUUUGUGUCAAUAAAAUUCUUGCAAUUUGAUCGCAUAUAUACCCCUCAUCCUCUCUCUCUCUCCUCUUUUUCUUCAUAACGAGUUGGCGCAUUUUCUCUUUUCCUUCAGAACGAGUUGGCGCAUAAACAGCAUAAGUCUGAUGAAUUCGAACGCUCCGUCUUCAAGCUCCGGAGCCGCUUCCUAUACCGAUUCUUCAGCACCCAGAAAAAAUUCCAAGCGACCCAAACGUUUGUUUCUCUCCCCAAAUCGUCCUUUUGCUUUUAUUUAAUUUUGAUUUUAGUUUUAAUUUUGCAACUGUUUUGUUUUCCUGUUUCGAUGUAUUAGUGAGCUUGUUUGCAGUGGUUUUUGCAGAUGUUCUUUUGUGAUCUAAUUUGUUCUUUUAUACUUUAAUUGAAAAGUUCUUUGGUUUUCUGUGAGUUCGGAUCCUUGGUUGUGCUAGGUUGAUUUUAGGUUUUACUUGAAACGGUUGCUUGUGUAAACUCAAGAGAUGUAAAUUGGGUUUUACAAUAGGACAACUAAAAUUCACUGCCAGCAACACAAUUUCGGCGAUAAUCUGGAUCUUUUAUGCAUAAUGUGUAUUUCAUUUUUUGGUUAUCCACAUAUAUAUUACCACUGCCUAUGAUGUUAUAUAAUGGGAACACCCUUUAAGCCGUGUCAUUUUUUUCCAGAAAAUAUGCGUAUUUACAAAAGAGGAAAUAAGGAUUUCAUAGACUUUUCGAAACUGCCUAUACGAUUAGGUUUGGUGUUUGGGUUGAGUUUAAAGUUUCUUGAUACAGAAGGCAAACAAACAAAUAGUGUCCAAGUACAAGUUUAUGAUUUGUUUCAAGCAGCAUGGCCAGAUUAGCGGGUUAAAGAAGGCAAAAGGAUGUUAAAUUUGCUUAUUGCUUGACUUCCACGGCUUGAAGAGGCUGUUUAUUUGUUGUAAUCAAGCCGUGGAAGUCAAACAGUAAACAUCUUUUGUCAUCACACAACGGGGACACACGAGUAAAAAUUAUAUUCUUAUAGAUGAGCAUGAAAAAACUACAUGGUUUUUUACAUUAGUUAUCGUGUUUUACCAAAAUAGUAAGAAAUUACAUUUACAAUCAAUAUAUUAUAAGAGAACGAUGAGAAAACAUACCAAAACUAUUUUAGAAAUAUUUUAUAAAAAUACUACUCACUCCGUUCCAAUUUGUUUAUCCAUUUUCACUAUUCUAGAUAUUUGAAAAAAUCAUCUGUAUUUUUUAAUUUAUAUUGUUUUUGGUAAUUUUGAAAACUUUGUAAACAAGAACUAAUUGAGAUUUUGAUUGGUGUAAAAAAUUUUAAAAUAUUAUUCAUAAAUACCAAAAAUUGACAAACAAAUUGGGCAAGAGGGAGUAAAAGUUUUGAGACUUAGAAUUCCGAAAAUACAAAAAUCAGAAGGGGGUGGAUUAAGAGGUAUGGUUAUACAAUUGUUUACAUAUUAUCACAUGAAUCACAGGUUUUUCCAUUUGAUAUUGUAAUGUGUUGCAUGUGUGUCAUGUGAUGGGCUUGUGUGAAGCCCUAAUUGUUCGAGGAGUGUUCAGUUCUAAAAAUAAAAAAUAAUAAGACAUGUUUAUAAAAGUGUCCCACUCGUGUCAGAGAUUGUUAGUACUUCUUAAGUUUGCCAUAUCAAAAUAGUAGGAAUGCAUUUCACAUUCUACAUAUUAGAAACGAUUGUGAACAAAAAGACCAAUAUCUGGUUUUGAGCUUCUUUUUUUUUUCCUUUUUCAUAUACAAAAGUUUUGAGAUUUACAAUUAUAAAAAUUAAAAGGUUUUGAGGAGGAGGGUUUAAUAUGUAUAGUUAUACGUUACGCUUGUUUUAUCAUAGAUCACAUGCUAUUUUCUCUUUCAAGCUUGUAAUGUAUUUCAUGUGUUCAUAACUGGUGGAAACGUGUGUUUCCCAUAUCCAAAGUGUGUAAUUCUAAAAGAUAAAAAUAAAUGAUUGGACAUAUUCAUACUAGUGUUUGACACAUAUCGGAGAGUGUCAGUAUUUGAUAGGUAUCCAAGAAACACAUACCAUCAUCUUAGAAGUGUCCAUGCUUCUUACCUGGGUUGCUUUGUUAAGAAAAUUAAAUAUUGUGUGGUCAUUUGAUUUAUGAAGGAUAAAGAAAUACUUUUUUUUGUACUUUUUUGUUUUUUCCGUGCUUAAUACUUUUUGUUUCCUGUAGCCUGUACCGAGGUACCGAGCCUUG
rnacentral:lncRNA from 1 species